CUUGGUCAUUUAGAGGAAGUAAAAGUCGUAACAAGGUUUCCGUAGGUGAACCUGCGGAAGGAUCAUUACAUGAUUUUCCAGGGAGUGGAGGCUUCGGCUGAAGCUCUGUCUGAACCCAUGUCUUUUGCGUACUACUUGUUUCCUCGGCGGGCUUGCCCGCCGAUAGGACAACCUUAAACUCUUUGCAAUUGCAAUCAGCGUCUGAAUAACUUUAAUAGUUACAACUUUCAACAACGGAUCUCUUGGCUCUGGCAUCGAUGAAGAACGCAGCGAAAUGCGAUAAGUAGUGUGAAUUGCAGAAUUCAGUGAAUCAUCGAAUCUUUGAACGCACAUUGCGCCCCUUGGUAUUCCAUGGGGCAUGCCUGUUCGAGCGUCAUUUGUACCUUCAAGCUCUGCUUGGUGUUGGGUGUUUGUCCUCUCUUUGCAUAGGACUCGCCUCAAAGCAAUUGGCAGCCGGCGUAUUGGCCUGGGAGCGCAGCACAUUUUGCGAUCUCUGUCAUAGUACGACGACAUCCAUUAAGCAUUUUUUAUCACUUUUGACCUCGGAUCAGGUAGGGAUACCCGCUGAACUUAAGCAUAUCAAUAAGCGGAGGA
rnacentral:rRNA from 1 species